rnacentral:other from 1 species
AUUUCCCUGCCAUGCUUGUGGCACCUGGUAAUUUUAUGAACCAAUAAAUGAUUAAAGGGAACCUAACUUCGGCUGACUUGUGAGUCAGUUGAGAGGGUACCCACCUAGGAAACUAGGUUCAAUAGUUGCCAGGUACUCACGGCAAAGUGGGGAAUUU